GGGCGCUUAGCUCAGCUGGGAGAGCAUCUGCCUUACAAGCAGAGGGUCAUAGGUUCGAGCCCUAUAGCGCCCA
rnacentral:tRNA from 1 species